GACGAACGCUGGCGGCGUGCUUAACACAUGCAAGUCGAGCGGUAAGGCCCUUUCGGGGGUACACGAGCGGCGAACGGGUGAGUAACACGUGGGUGACCUGCCCUCAGCUCUGGGAUAAGCUUGGGAAACCGGGUCUAAUACUGGAUAUGACUCCAUGACGCAUGUUGUGGGGUGGAAAGCCUUGUGCGGCUGAGGAUGGGCCCGCGGCCUAUCAGCUUGUUGGUGGGGUGANGGCCUACCAAGGCGACGACGGGUAGCCGGCCUGAGAGGGCGACCGGCCACACUGGGACUGAGACACGGCCCAGACUCCUACGGGAGGCAGCAGUGGGGAAUCUUGCGCAAUGGGCGAAAGCCUGACGCAGCGACGCCGCGUGAGGGAUGACGGCCUCGG
rnacentral:rRNA from 1 species